UAAAUUUAUUAAAAUAAAAUAAUCUUUUUAAUAAAUCAUUUAUUAAUUUUUUUAAUUUAAAAUAAUUAUCAAUUAAUUAAACAAAAAAAAUUAAAAGGACGAAGAAAAUAGAUGGGGUUGGCACCUCAGCGACUUAUUAUAAUAUGUUUGAGUGCUUUAUUCUAAAAUAAAAUUAAAAUAGAAUAAUUUUAUUGAAAUAAAUUUAAAAUUAAAUGCUAGAAACGAGACAUUCAAAGUUCUGUAAUUAUGGAUAAAAAUUAUCUAAAUUUAUUGUAUUCCCUUAUAAUAAAUUUUAUUUUAAAAAAACCGCUAAUUUACAUAAAUCCUUGAUUCAGGUUGCAGAUUUUUCACUUUCAAAUUUUUUGCCGGACAGUGGUAAUGUUGGCCACAUCACCAGUAUAUUCAGGGGAACUAAUGUUUAUGCAGAUACAGAAUUUGGUGAUAAACAAAAAGUUUCGUAUGCAUUGGAUGUUUAUGCUUUUGGUGUUAUACUUUUAGAAUUGAUUUCUGGAAGAAAGCCUACACAAAACAAUAUUACAAUUAUUGAAUGGGCUAAAAGCAGAAUUGGACGAGUUUUGAACGAUAAUGACUGUAGAAGUAUUGUUGAUCCCAAUUUGAAAGAGUAUAAUAUAGAAGAAAUGAUGAGAAUGGUUUACUGUGCUGCUGCUUCCGUAUAUAAACUUUCAUCCUUUAGACCAAAAA